rnacentral:tRNA from 1 species
GGUCUCGUAGCUGAGGUGAUUAGGGCGUUGGCUGUUCUAAAGCCUUCUCCUUGCUGGCGUGGGUUCAAAUCCCACCGAGGCCG